rnacentral:rRNA from 3 species
GUCUUUUUGAGUUAUUUUUAAAGUCUGACCUGCCCACUGAAUAUUUUUAAAUGGCCGCAGUAUUCUAACUGUGCAAAGGUAGCAUAAUCAUUAGUCUUUUAAUUGAAGGCUGGUAUGAACGGUUGGACGAAGUAUAAGCUGUUUCAUAUAAAAUUAUAUUAGAAUUUUAUAUUUUAGUUAAAAAGCUAAAAUAUUAUUAAAAGACGAGAAGACCCUAUAAAUCUUUAUAUUUAAUAUUAUUCAAAUUUUUUUGAUUAAUUUUAUUUUUAUAAUAUUAAAUAUUUUGUUGGGGUGAUAUUAAAAUUUAACAAACUUUUAAUUUUGAAUUAGAACAUUAAUUUAUGAAUAGUUGAUCCAUUAUUAAUGAUUAUAAGAUUAAGUUACUUUAGGGAUAACAGCGUAAUUUUUUUUGAGAGUUCAUAUCGACAAAAAAGUUUGCGACCUCGAUGUUGGAUUAAGAUAUAUAUUUAGGUGUAGCCGUUUAAAUAUUAAGUCUGUUCGACUUUUAAAUUCUUACAUGAUCUGAGUUCAA